AGCAGUGUGGCUUAGUGGAAAGAGCAUGGGCUUGGGAGUCAUAGAUCAUGGGUUCGAAUCCUGACUCUGCCA
rnacentral:tRNA from 1 species